GAGGAGCAUAGUGGGGACAGGGCUUCAGAAGGGCUGUCGAGGGAACAGGUUGAGGGACAAAGUGAUUGGACGAAGAGGAACCAAGGACUGUCCUAGAGUCAGGCUCCUGGAGCCCAGAGGAGGUCGGGGUGUGUCGGCCAGGAAGGAGCUCUGAACACAGCCUGACUGGUGAUGGAUAUGGGAUGUUCCCUGCUGAGUGAAUAGGGUGCAAGCAUGUGCUCACUCCAGCUAAGCAACAUGCAAGCACAAAAUGGCUGACAGUGGCUCUCCUUACAUCCCUGACUCAGUCGUACCCGUUCCUCACAUGGGAUUUGUCCAGGUCAGAGGUUCACAGUCUCCCUCGACUGGCUAAAAGGCUUGGGGGAUGGGUUAGGGCAUGCAGUUUGGCAGGCA